AGAGUUUGAUCCUGGCUCAGAAUGAACGCUGGCGGCAUGGCUAAGACAUGCAAGUCGAACGAACUAUCCAUUUAUGUAUAGUUAGUGGCGAAAGGGUGAGGAAUAAAUAGGUAACGUACCCCGUAUUUCAGAAUAGCGUCUAGGUGCUUGCACCUUUCCGAAAGGGGCAGUAAUGCUGAAUAAUAUCAUCUGCUUAAUGUGGAUGAUCAAAGAUUUAUCGAUAUGGGAGCGGCCUAUUUCCUAUCAGCUUGUUGGUGAGGUAACGGCUCACCAAGGCGACGACGGGUAGCGGGACUGAGAGGUUGGCCCGCCACAUCGGGACUGAGACACUGCCCGGACCUCCACGGAGGGCUGCAGUAACGAAUAUUGGGCAAUGGGCGAAAGCCUGACCCAGCAAUGCCGCGUGUAGGAUGAAGCCCCUCGGGGUGUAAACUAUUGUCAGGGAUUAGAAAGCUACGGUUGAUCAAUCCCAGAGGAAGUCACGGCUAACUUCGUGCCAGCAGCCGCGGUAAUACGAAGGCGGCAAGCGUUAUUCGAAAUCACUGGGCUUAAAGGGCGCGUAGGCGGACAUAUAAGUGUCUUGUGAAAUCCCCCGGCUUAACCGGGGAAUUGCUCGGCAAACUAUAUGUCUUGAGUCAAGUAGGGGUGUGUGGAACUCUUGGUGGAGCGGUGGAAUGCGUAGAUAUCAAGAGGAACGCCGAAGGUGAAGACAGCACACUGGGCUUGAACUGACGCUGAGGCGCGAAAGCGUGGGUAGCAAACAGGAUUAGAUACCCUGGUAGUCCACGCCGUAAACGAUGUAUACUAGGUCGCGGAGGUUCUGACACCGUCGCGGUCGAAGCAAAAGUGUUAAGUAUACCGCCUGGGGAGUACGGUCGCAAGGCUAAAACUCAAAGGAAUUGACGGGGGCUCACACAAGCGGUGGAGCAUGUGGAUUAAUUCGAAUCAACGCGCAGAACCUUACCUGGGUUUGACAUGUUUGGAUGCCUAUCUGGAAACAGAGUCGGUUGCCCUUCGGGGUGAAACUUACACAGGUGCUGCAUGGCUGUCGUCAGCUCGUGUCGUGAGAUGUCGGGUUAAGUCCUUUAACGAGCGAAACCCUUACCGUUAGUUGCCAGCGCGUCAUGGCGGGGACUCUAGCGUACUGCCGGUGUUAAACCGGAGGAAGGCGGGGAUGACGUAAAGUCCUCAUGGCCUUUAUGCCCAGGGCUUCACACGUGCUACAAUGGUGACUACAAAGCGACGCGAUACCGCGAGGUGGAGCAAAUCGCAAAAAAAUCGCCCCAGUUCAGAUUGCAGGCUGGCAACUCGCCUGCAUGAAGUUGGAAUCGCUAGUAAUCGCGUAUCAGCGAUGACGCGGUGAAUGUGUUCCUGAGCCUUGUACACACCGCCCGUCAAGUGAUGGAAGUUGGGAGUACCCGAAGUCGGAUUGCUAACUUUUUAAGAAGCGUCUGCCGACGGUAAGCUCGAUGACUGGCACUAAGUCGUAACAAGGUA
rnacentral:rRNA from 1 species